UGGUCUAUACUAACUUUGGUGGUAACUCGUAAGCGGGCAUGAAGUGUUUGAAACAAAACACCCGUGUUAUAAUGGUUGUCAUUAUUUACAAGAACUCAGCAACUGUUUGCAUAUAAGUUACACCAACAUUUGUUCAGCAAACCCUGGGAUGAAGCGAGUUCCAUAUUAUUAUUGAUCUGUAACAUUAAUAUUAUAUAUAAAAAUAUAGUAGAGGAAGACAGGAUACCGUUGGGAUAAAGGUAAAAUGAAAAAUAGUUGGGGUAAGAUGAGAUAACGUUGGGGUAAGAUGGGACAUUGUUGCUCGCCAAUGAAUUUUGGUCACGAUGGCGGAAAGAGUUCCUGCUUAGUCUCCAACAACAAGCAAAAUGGGCAAAAUCUCGACCAGAUUUAAAGGUCGGCGAUGUGGUGCUGGUAGUAGACGAGAACUUAAGCAUAAACUUAUGGAAGAUGGGUCGCAUCGUAGAGGCGUUGCCAAGUAGAGACAAAUUGAUUCGCCAUCUGCGAGUCAUGAUUUGUCAUGUCGCCAACACUAAAGGGAACUUGACACAAACUUGUUCGAUUUUAGAGCGGCCGGUACACAAACUAUUACUACUAAACAAUGAAACCAACGAAUAGAUGUUCACAAAUAGAUUCCCCGAUGUGGAGCCCUAAAAUUAUAUAUUUUGAUCGCGAAAAUUUAUGUAUUAUGAUUGUGAAGUUUAAUUAUGUUGGUGUAAAUGUUCAUGUUAUAGUUGGUAAACAUUUAAGGGAGCCAUGUUACUGCCGCAGUGGCGUAGCUGUUUUGUUUAAUAAUAGUCCCUUCCGUUCUGUUCCAUUGAUUAACGACACAGCGAAUAUCUUGAAGGCGUGAUGCAUUUUCCUAUGUAGAAUUGUUAGCGACUAUACACGCCAAAUUGCAGUUACCGCAAAUAAAGGACCAACAGGAGAGCCUCGAAAGCGCGUAACUGCUUUAAGCAAUCUGAAAGAGGCACCAACGAAGCACGUGCCGAAACAAAUUAUAUUUUAUUGCAGAUGAACAAGUCAGCACUUCUACUUUUGCUUCUCAUCGGGCUUCUCGUACUCACUGAAACCACAACUGCAAUGUGGGGUAACCGUGCCUAAAGAGACAGCAGUAGUGUCUGAGAAAAUGAGCGCAUUUUUGCAACACAACCUGAAAUAUCAAUCGCAUUCCCAGUAUCCAGCUGAUUGUGCCAGUAAGAGGAGUGACGUCAGAUCAGCUCACAGCUUCACAUGGUUUCGUGGUCCUCCAUUCUUCUGGGAGGCAACCGUUUCAUCACGUAGUCAUGUCUAGACGGGAAAUCUUUAAGAGCGUCAAAACUGCGUUAAGAGAAUUAAGAAGCAAAUAAACGUUUAAAACUUUGGAUGAACGCUCUCUGUUGCAGAAAGACAGAGAGAAUUAACCAGAAAAUUAACGGGAAGUCAUUAAAACAACGUCAACGAUCACUAACUAAUGUUCUAGCUGGUGUAAUAAACAGUUUAAAUAACGUUCGAUAAGUUUUGUUCUAUGUUGUCACGACUUUAUAAAAGUUUUUUAUACGUUUUGGUAUUCCUGACAGGUGUAUUCGCUGCUACCAUUGUGAGAGGAAGUAUUUGUUCUAACAAAGGUACAUUCGUGGUAUCUCGUAAGCGGGUACGGUGUGUUUGGAACAGAACACCUUCUUAAUAAAAUGUAUAAACGUUUAUUUAUAAAAAUACACAAAUUCCUGAAGCAAAAACUUGGUGCAGUCUUUGCGUUUGGUACCAGCAAACAUGGAGCUCACUUUUUAAAUGUCGCAAUCGAAUUUCGUUGUUUAUCAGGCGUAUCAUGGCUUACACAGGAACUCAUCAGUGGAACCGAAUCCAAGAAUUCGUGCGCCGAAUUUAUUGAGAAGAAAAGAUUUAUUGAAAAAGGGGAAUUUUAUUGAAAUGAAGGGAUUUUAAUCCUGACAGCAGAUGCAUCGGAAACAAUCAAACAACGAUAGUUAUAAAAAGCGCUGAGUUUUGCAAUAUUUUAUCAGUUCUUCAAAAGAAAUAACAUGAACAAGUCAGCACUUCUACUUUUGCUUCUCAUCGGACUCAUCGUCCUCACUGAAACUACUAAUGCUGCAUGGUGGUCUCGUCGUCGUCGUCGUCGUUAUAACCAAGAGGAAAUACCACAAAUGAACGAAAUUCUAGAUAUGGAAUCCGAGGACGGUUUCACUUGGUAUAACCGUGGAUAAGAAUAACUACUUAAUCGUGUAUAAGCUGCAAUCGUACGAUUUUAAUAAAUUGAACAUCAGCAAAACAUA